rnacentral:rRNA from 1 species
AUUGAACGCUGGCGGCAGGCUUAACACAUGCAAGUCGAGCGGAGAGAGGUAGCUUGCUACUGAUCUUAGCGGCGGACGGGUGAGUAAUGCUUAGGAAUCUGCCUAUUAGUGGGGGACAACAUUUCGAAAGGAAUGCUAAUACCGCAUACGUCCUACGGGAGAAAGCAGGGGAUCUUCGGACCUUGCGCUAAUAGAUGAGCCUAAGUCGGAUUAGCUAGUUGGUGGGGUAAAGGCCUACCAAGGCGACGAUCUGUAGCGGGUCUGAGAGGAUGAUCCGCCACACUGGGACUGAGGCACGGCCCAGACUCCUACGGGAGGCAGCAGUGGGGAAUAUUGGACAAUGGGCGCAAGCCUGAUCCAGCCAUGCCGCGUGUGUGAAGAAGGCCUUAUGGUUGUAAAGCACUUUAAGCGAGGAGGAGGCUACUUUAGUUAAUACCUAGAGAUAGUGGACGUUACUCGCAGAAUAAGCACCGGCUAACUCUGUGCCAGCAGCCGCAGUAA